rnacentral:lncRNA from 1 species
CGAGUAAGCCAUGCAAAUCUAGAAUCCCAUAUCAUAAAAAGAAUAACAUUAAAUUUCUUUCGUUAAUUAUACAAACAUUAGAACCUGAAACGAACCUUCAAAACCAAUUUCCUCUGUAAAGAGCGGCAAACCCAAAAUCCAAAAGAACAAAAAGAAAGGAAGAAAUAAGAAACACUAAGUUUUCAUUCCGAACAUGUGAAAUGUGUUUUAUGGAGAACACGUAAGAGAGUAAAAGGAAACUCAUCAAGCCAAGAGUUUUUUUUUUUUUUAUGAAAUUUUCUCUAUCAUUUUUAUCGAUUGAUGAAGAAGCGUUAUCGACAGCAGAGGAUUCUGAUCCUCUCUUUG